UUUAUAAUCAGACACUCAGCCUUCUCAUUAUGUGGAUUGAUUCGGUAGCAAGCACAGCAUAUAACCUGACUAUCACUGAACAAUGAGGACUGUCUGGAGUUUAGUACUCAUGGUGGUGUUUGUAAAAAGUGUUCAUGGUCAGAUACUGACUGAGUCUGGACCAGUGGUUAAAAAGCCUGGAGAAUCACACAAACUGACCUGUACAACCUCUGGGUUCACAUUCAGUAACUUCUGGAUGGCUUGGAUCAGACAGACUCCUGGGAAAGGACUAGAAUUUAUGGCAGCACAUUAUAACAGCAUAAAUAUUGCCUACUCCCAGUCUGUUCAGGGUCGGUUCACCAUCUCUAGAGAUGACAGCAAGCAGCAGGUGUAUCUCCAGAUGAACAGCCUGAAGACUGAAGACUCUGCUGUUUAUUAUUGUGCCAGAGACACAGUGACACAGGAGGCUGCAGCACCGUACAAAAACUGUUCAAACCUGAUCACGGCUGUAACACAACAAAAUGUGGAAUAAGACAAGGGAUAUGAAUAAUAUCUGAGGGCACUGUAAUUGUCAUGGUGAUGUCCAUACACAGUGUUUGUUCUGAUAUCAGACUGGAUCAGUCUCCUUCUCAGGCGAAACGACCUGCAGACACAAUUAAAUUGUCCUGUUCAAUCUUUGUUUAUUCAAUGACUAGAUCUACAAUUCACUGGAUAAGGCAGAAACCAGGGAAAGUACUGGAGUGGAUCGGGAGAAUGAAGAAUGGUUCAGGCACAGAUGUUAUCCAUGCAGACUCCCUGAAAAGCUUAUUCAUCCUGACUGAGGAUGUCUCCACAAGCACACAGUUCUUAGAGGCCAAGAGUUUGAGAGCAGAGGACUCUGCUGUUUAUUAUUGUGCUCAACAGACACUGACUGGAGAUGGUGAAGCAGUUAUACAAAAACCCCAACACCGCCUAACAAUAUGGCUAGCUGGUGUACUACUUCCUCUCUUUGCUUUACAGUAAUGCUGUGUAUAGCAUUACUGUAAAGAAUACAAUAACAAUAUCACAAAGAACUACACAAUUUAAAGGGUCCAGCCUCUAACAUUCAAACUACCUCUUUCUUGCCUAGUCUGGUCAAGCUUUCUUGAUGUCACAUAAAAAAAAAUCAUAAACAAAGUAUUCAGAACAUAUGAACCUGUUCCUCAUCUCUGAAUUCUCUAUUUAAUCUCUGUGUGAUCUUCCCACCCUGUGAGGAGGAGUCAAUGCAAAACUCUGAUCUCUUUAUAUGGUCCCCAUAUCCUUGAUUAGUAACUGUAUAAGUGUGCCCUUUGUUCACCAUUGUCUUGUCUAUUAUUGUUCCAUUGUCCGUUGGUCGUGUGAGUAACUGUGCUUGUUUUGGCUCUCGUGCUGCAUGUUGUGCGUUUGUGUUUUCGGGUCACGUCCCGUGUAUUUAUUACAGAUCUCGCCACGUGUAUUAGAGGUACUCCUCGCUCUUUGUUUGGGUUCAACCCUGUGUUUUGUAUACAUGUUUGUUUGAUCUUUGUCCCUGUGCCUUUACAUGUGACGCUGUCAUUUGGUUGAAAUAUAAAACCAUAUUACACAUUUCUG